rnacentral:rRNA from 1 species
GGUGAACGCUGGCGGUGUGCCUAAUACAUGCAAGUCGAACGGACACACAAUAAGAUCUUGCCCCUAACGGUGGCGGCUGACGGAUGGGUGACACAUGCAUCGCCUACUUCUAUUACGGGGGUGACUUCGUAGGACAACUGAUGAUAAUACCUCAUACAUUGUACCGGUUAAAGCAGUAGAUCUUCACGGUUUUCCUGAUUGUUAUAGAUGGUUCCGCGCCGGAUUAGCUAGUUGGUAAGGUAACGGCUUACCAAGGCUACGAUGCGUAGCCGACCUGAGAGGAUGAUCAGCCACACUGGAACUGAGACACGGUCCAGACUCCUACGGGAGGCAGCAGUAGGGAAUAUUGGGCAAUGGGCGCAAGCCUGACCGAGCAAUGCCGCGUGAGUGAUGAAGGUCUUCGGAUCGUAAAGCCCUGUUGUUAGGAAAGAACAACUGUGUAUGAAACUACGGCUGUUUUGACGGUACCUAAUGAGAAAGCACCGGCUAACUACGUG